rnacentral:rRNA from 1 species
UACACUCCUACGGGAGGCAGCAGUGGGGAAUAUUGCACAAUGGGCGCAAGCCUGAUGCAGCCAUGCCGCGUGUAUGAAGAAGGCCUUCGGGUUGUAAAGUACUUUCAGCGGGGAGGAAGGCAAUACGGUUAAUAACCGUGUUGAUUGACGUUACCCGCAGAAGAAGCACCGGCUAACUCCGUGCCAGCAGCCGCGGUAAUACGGAGGGUGCAAGCGUUAAUCGGAAUUACUGGGCGUAAAGCGCACGCAGGCGGUCUGUCAAGUCGGAUGUGAAAUCCCCGGGCUCAACCUGGGAACUGCAUUCGAAACUGGCAGGCUUGAGUCUUGUAGAGGGGGGUAGAAUUCCAGGUGUAGCGGUGAAAUGCGUAGAGAUCUGGAGGAAUACCGGUGGCGAAGGCGGCCCCCUGGACAAAGACUGACGCUCAGGUGCGAAAGCGUGGGGAGCAAACAGGAUUAGAAACCCGGGUAGUCCCAUG